AAUCAAACGCGAAAGGGUAUUUGAUGGAUGCCUUGGCAUUAAGAGGCGAUGAAGGACGUGAUAGACUGCGAUAAGCUACGGGGAAAUGUCAAUAAUUUUUGAUCCGUAGAUUUCCGAAUGGGGGAACCUGUUGCAUUAGCAACAUCACUUAUUGAAUUAAUAGAUAAGUGGAGCAAACCUGAUGAACUGAAACAUCUAAGUAAUCAGAGGAAAAGAAAUCAAUAGAGAUUUCGUUAGUAGCGGCGAGCGAAAACGAAACAGCCCAGUACUUUGGGUUUUUAAACCAAAAUGCUAUGGAAAGAGCAACGAUAUAGGUGAUAGUCCUGUAUGGGUAUAUAAAAAUUCAAUUUCUUGAGUAGAGCGGGACACGUGUUAUCUUGCUUGAAUAUGGGGGGACCACCCUCCAAGGCUAAAUACUACUUAAUGACCGAUAGUGAACAAGUACCGUGAGGGAAAGGUGAAAAGAACCCCGGAAGGGGAGUGAAAUAGAUCUGAAAUCAAAUACUUACAAGCAGUCGGAGCAAAUUUUUUUGUGACGGCGUACCUUUUGCAUAAUGAGCCAGCGAGUUUAUCUUUUGAGCAAGCUUAAGUCGUUAGACGUAGGCGUAGCGAAAGCGAGUUUUAAUAGAGCGAGCAGUUUAAAGGAUAAGACCCGAAACCGAGUGAUCUAGCUAUGAGCAGGCUGAAGAUGUGGUGAUACACAUUGGAGGGCCGAACCAUAUCACGUUGCAAUGUGUGUGGAUGACUUGUUGCUAGGGGUGAAAGGCUAAUCAAACUCGGAAAUAGCUGGUUCUCCGCGAAAUCUAUUUAGGUAGAGCGUCAUAAUUAUCUUUUUGGGGUAGAGCUCUGAAUAGGCUAGGGGGGAGAAAUCUUUACCAAACCUAAUCAAACUACGAAUACGAAAAGUCAAUUUUAUGGCAAGACAGACUUAGGGUGCUAAGAUCCUAGGUCAAGAGGGAAAGAGCCCAGAUCACCGUCUAAGGUCCCCAAACACAACUAAGUGGUUAAGGAAGUAAAAAAACCAAAACAGUCAGGAGGUUGGCUUAGAAGCAGCCAUCCUUUAAAGAAAGCGUAAUAGCUCACUGAUCUAUUAGUUUUUUUGCGCCGAAAAUUUAACGGGGCUAAAGUUGUGUACCGAAGACGUGAGUGCUUUAAAAUUAAUUUAUUAAGAAUUUUCUUUGUAAAUUUUUUUUAAGGCGCGGUAGCGGAGCGUUCUGUAAGCCUGUGAAGGUGUAGGCGUGAGCCUUACUGGAGGUAUCAGAAGUGAGAAAGCUGGCAUGAGUAGCAUAAAAAAAUGUGAGAAACAUUUUCGCUGAAAGUCCAAGGUUUCCUACGCAAGGUUUGUCCGCGUAGGGUUAGUCGGCCCCUAAGGCGAGGACAUUUGUCGUAGUCGAUGGGAAUCAGGCUUGGGUUUACCCAAGGUAAAAAUAAUAUUCCUGAACCUGCUAAAUGUGACGGAGUGAACAUACUGUAAGUUUUUAUUGGAUUAAACUUGCUUUAUCUAGCUUCCAGGAAAUAGCAUUAGCAUAUAGACCGUACCCCAAACCGAAACAGGUGGACUGGUAGAGUAUACUAAAGCGUUUGAGAGAAUGGUGUUGAAGGAACUCGGCAAAUUGAUCUCGUAACUUCGGAAUAAGAGAUGUCUCAAUUUGGGAAACCAGAUUGAGAUGGCACAUAAGAGGGAGUGGCGACUGUUUAUCUAAAACACAGGACUCUGCAAAAAUCAAAAUUGAUGUAUAGGGUCUGACGCCUGCCCGGUGCUGGAAGGUUAAUAGGAUUUGUUCACGCAAUGAAUAGAAGCCCCAGUAAACGGCGGCCGUAACCAUGACGGUCCUAAGGUAGCGAAAUUCCUUGUCAGGUAAAUUCUGACCUGCAUGAAUGGCGUAACGACUGCUCCGCUGUCUCCAACACCAACUCAGUGAAGUUGAAUGCUCCGUGAAAAUGCGGAGUACCCAUGGUUAGACGGAUAGACCCCGUGCACCUUUACUACAGCUUUACAUUGGCAAGAUGAACAUUAUGUGUAGGAUAGGCGGUAGUCUUUGAAGCGUGGGCGCUAGCUUGCGUGGAGACAUCCUUGAAAUACCGUCCUUGAUGUUUGUUUUUCCUAACCUUUUCUGCGAUCCAGGUAAGGGAAAGUGUAUGGUGGGUAGUUUGACUGGGGCGGUCGCCUCCUAAAGAGUAACGGAGGCGUACAAAGGUAAGUUCAAGUUGUUUGGAAAGCAACUGUUGAGUGCAAUGGCAUAAACUUGCUUGACUGCGAGACGUACAUGUCGAGCAGAGACGAAAGUCGGUCAUAGUGACCCGGUGGUUCUGUGUGGAAGGGCCAUCGAUCAACGGAUAAAAGGUACGCCGGGGAUAACAGGCUAAUCUCUCCCAAGCGUUCACAGCGACGGGGAGGUUUGGCACCUCGAUGUCGGCUCAUCACAUCCUGGGGCUGAAGCAGGUCCCAAGGGUUUGGCUGUUCGCCAAUUAAAGUGGUACGCGAGCUGGGUUCAGAACGUCGUGAGACAGUUCGGUCCCUAUCUGCCAUGGGCGUGUGGAAAAUUGAGAGGAGCUGCUCCUAGUACGAGAGGACCGGAGUGGACAUAUCACUGGUGUACCAGUUGUCGUGCCAACGGCAAUGCUGGGUAGCUACAGUAUGGCACGGAUAACCGCUGAAAGCAUCUAAGCGGGAAGCCGACCUCAAGAUUAGUUUUCCCUAUGAGAGUCGUGGAAGAUAACCACGUUGAUAGGCUGGGUGUGGAAGUCAGGUAACUGAUGAAGCUGACCAGUACUAAUACUCCAUUGGUUUGAUU
rnacentral:rRNA from 1 species